rnacentral:rRNA from 1 species
GGGACAACAGUUGGAAACGACUGCUAAUACCGCAUAAGCCCACGGCCCGGCAUCGGGCUGCGGGAAAAGGAUUUAUUCGCUUCAGGAUGGACUCGCGUCCAAUUAGCUAGUUGGUGAGGUAACGGCCCACCAAGGCGACGAUUGGUAGCCGGACUGAGAGGUUGAACGGCCACAUUGGGACUGAGACACGGCCCAGACUCCUACGGGAGGCAGCAGUGGGGGAUAUUGCACAAUGGGGGAAACCCUGAUGCAGCGACGCCGCGUGGAGGAAGAAGGUUUUCGGAUUGUAAACUCCUGUCGUUAGGGACGAUAAUGACGGUACCUAACAAGAAAGCACCGGCUAACUACGUGCCAGCAGCCGCGGUAAAACGUAGGGUGCAAGCGUUGUCCGGAAUUACUGGGUGUAAAGGGAGCGCAGGCGGACCGGCAAGUUGGAAGUGAAAACUAUGGGCUCAACCCAUAAAUUGCUUUCAAAACUGCUGGCCUUGAGUAGUGCAGAGGUAGGUGGAAUUCCCGGUGUAGCGGUGGAAUGCGUAGAUAUCGGGAGGAACACCAGUGGCGAAGGCGACCUACUGGGCACCAACUGACGCUGAGGCUCGAAAGCAUGGGUAGCAAACAGGAUUAGAUACCCUGGUAGUCCAUGCCGUAA